AUGUAUGUGACUCAGUGGUAGAGUGCUUGUCUAGCAUACAUGAGUACCUGGGUUCAAUCCUCAGCACACACU
rnacentral:tRNA from 1 species